GCUGCAAUGUCAGGAAGCACGUUGAGAGGGCCUCGCAUGACCUGAAGUCUGUGAUUACCACCUACGAAGGGAAGCACAACCACGAUGUUCCUGCAGCUCGCAACAGUAGUCAUGUUAAUUCAGGUGCCUCCAACACCCUUCCAGCUCCAGUAACUGCUCCUCCUGCUCAAAGCCAUUUACAUAGGCCUGAGCCUGCACAACUUCAGAAUACCAUGGCACGUUUUGACAGGCAACCUUCACUCGGCUCAUUUGGACCUACCCCAGGAUUUAGCUAUGGAAUGAACCUGCCUCUAACACCCUUCCAGCUCCAGUAACUUCUCCUCCUGUUCAAAGCCAUUUACAUAGGCCCGAGCCUGCACAACUUCAGAAUGCCAUGGCACGUUUUGACAGGCAACCGUCACUCGGCUCAUUUGGACCUACCCCAGGAUUUAGCUAUGGAAUGAAC
rnacentral:lncRNA from 1 species